rnacentral:miRNA from 1 species
GGUCCUUGAGUUCUGAGCAC